rnacentral:rRNA from 1 species
CCUACGGGUGGCUGCAGUGGGGAAUAUUGCACAAUGGGGGAAACCCUGAUGCAGCGACGCCGCGUGAGUGAAGAAGUAAUUCGUUACGUAAAGCUCUAUCAGCCGGGAAGAAAAUGACGGUACUUGAGUAAGAAGCACCGGCGAACUACGUGCCAGCAGCCGCGGUAAUACGUAGGGGGCAAGCGUUAUCCGGAUUUACUGGGGGAAAAGGGAGCGUAGCCGGUGGGCCAAGUCAGGAGUGAAAUGCCGCAGCUUAACCGCGGAACUGCUUUGGAAACUGGCCAACUAGAGUGCGGGAGGGGUGAGCAGAAUUCCAAGUGUAGCGGUGAAAUGCGUAGAUAGUAGGAGGAACACCGGUGGCGAAGGCGGCUUACUGGACCAUGACUGACGUUGAGGCUCGAAAGCGUGGGGAGCAAACAGGAUUAGAUACCCUGGUAGUC